rnacentral:rRNA from 1 species
UCUUCCACAAUGGACGAAAGUCUGAUGGAGCAACGCCGCGUGAGUGAAGAAGGGUUUCGGCUCGUAAAGCUCUGUUGGUAGUGAAGAAAGAUAGAGGUAGUAACUGGCCUUUAUUGACGGUAAUUACUUAGAAGUCACGGCUAACUACGUGCC